rnacentral:rRNA from 1 species
GACGAACGCUGGCGGCGUGCUUAACACAUGCAAGUCGAGCGGUAAGGCCCUUUCGGGGGUACGACGAGCGGCGAACGGGUGAGUAACACGUGGGUGACCUGCCCUUAGCUCUGGGAUAAGCCUGGGAAACUGGGUCUAAUACUGGAUAUGACUCCAUGACGCAUGUUGUGGGGUGGAAAGCCUUGUGCGGCUAGGGAUGGGCCCGCGGCCUAUCAGCUUGUUGGUGGGGUGAUGGCCACCAAGGCGACGACGGGUAGCCGGCCUGAGAGGGCGACCGGCCACACUGGGACUGAGACACGGCCCAGACUCCUACGGGAGGCAGCAGUGGGGAAUCUUGCGCAAUGGGCGGAAAGCCUGACGCAGCGACGCCGCGUGAGGGAUGACGGCCU